ACGGUAGGAAACAGUGCAUCUUUCGUGGGCCCAGAUCGUAUCGGGGGAACGGAGGACGCGCGUGUGCGUUCUGGUCCGUGGACCAGAACGUUCUCAUCUCAACCGAGCCACGGAUCAGAAUCGUCGCCCCCCUCUCUUCCCCCAAAACCGGCGGCGCUCGAUCUGCACCGGCGGCCACGUGAUGGAAGAGGCUGGCCUCGAUUUCCUGCUCGAUGCCGUCCACAGGCCAUCGCCGUCUUGUUUCAGGGGAGGAGUUUGAGGACUAUCUUGAACACCCAGAUCCGGUUCCUCUGGCCUUGUUCCUGAGAAGCGAAGCCAGCCGCGCCGUCCCUGCGGACUCAAAUGCCAGGUCUGGUUGCGGGCAACAGGACGGGGAGUGCACCGGUGUCCUGAUGCUUCUCUGACUCGGUCGGGGCAGUCAACUGACCCCAAGGCCUCUGGUUGGACAAAAAGGUUACAGCUCGGUAGUACACCACCAGACCAGACACCUUGUCCCUGGGAUGAGUGCUCACAAGUAUGCAGAGGAACCGACAAAGAGUGUAGUGCGACCUGCACUUGCUCGGGCGAGGCAUAUGAUUUCUACAAUUUGUACACUUGGGAGAUCGGGUUCGGAAUUAGAUAUGAUAAGAUCAGGCUCAACGCUGAGAGGACAAAAUGCAUGGAGGAGAUAGUCUGCGGUUGCUCGGUGCCUACUGAACUCUGCUUACAUAGUUAUAUUUGAGAAAACGGGAUUGGGCCAAUGUACUCCCCAAGUACUUCUGGUUACUGUACAACUUAGACUAUACAUGCUUGGCGAGCAGUCAUAAUUCUGAACGAAUGAACAAUUGGAGGCUAGGUCAGCAUUGCCUUACAAAUUCUACCUGUGUUCAUGCACUCCUCUGGUUGUUGUAGCAAUGAUCUGUUCCUUUCUCAGUGGGACAUGCGGGUCUUGAAAGGUUCAAGACAAUAACAAGCAGUUACUACUUACUACCGGGGAGUGCAUGGAAUCAUUGUAAGCCCUCAUGGACACCCGUAUUACUUUUUAUCAUAUUCUUGUGACACUCAACGCCGUCUUUUUGGAACUGCUUUACUCAGAUGUAGUAAUAUAGUACUCUAGGAUCGGUUGAAUUGGUUCACAGUUUCACUUUAGCCAUUGACCUGAACUUAUCAUUUUCACGGCUCGUUGUUAUCUACAUUUAGAAAAUAAUGUGAUUUCUAUUGUACUGGCUAACAUCUAACCGCCAUUUAGUUUGAGCUUACCUGUUAUACUUGAAUGGACAGAACAACGUAUUGCUAAUUGGCACACACCAAAAAAACACUCUCAACUUGUUUCAUGCUUGAAAGGUUGGCUUGCCUCUUUGUUCUUGAUACUCUUCUUCGUAAUGUGAUUCUGAUCUUUUCUAUUCAAAUAUAUAAUGAAGUGACUAAAAUAUCAAUGAUUAGUUUCAGGCAUUUGCGGAAUCAUUAGGAAUGAAUUUUCUUGAGAGUUAUGCUACGGAAUCCAUUAAUGUGGAGAGAACUUUCUUAAAUAUGUCAUCAGAAAUGAAGAAAAGAUAACCAGGAGCUACACACUUUUAGAGGCCUUUUUUCUUCCCAGUUUCUCUGAAAUGUUAGAUCUCAUCGAAUGACCUGUAUUCUUGUGAAAAAGAAAGGCUUUCGGAAUUCCGUCCAAUAUGUUUGCAUUACUGGUUUAAAAAUUAUGAUAUGCUCAUCUUUUUAUUGGGUUGUGUGCAUGAUCAAGAGAAGCCGAGAGAGCAAUAAUUUCUUGCUUUUCGGAAGAAAAACUGCAAGCAAGAGCAAUGACGAACAAUUUCUCAAAUACUUCCCAUGGAGCCUUUCAUUACAUUAAUUCUGCAGAGUUCAUAAUUGACACAAACAGUUUAUUUAGGUAUUGGCUUUAGUUUUUCUGAUGGCUAAGGACAGAUCAUGCAGUUAUCUCCUAUUAUGACUACUUCUGCUGCCUUCUAAAAAUCUGAAUGACGAGACAAUCUGCCACGGAGAGGAAAUCUACUGUCCAUGUUCACAUGAAAGGGCAGCCCAUACAGCAGCAAAAUAGCAGCUGCUGCUCCGCAUAGGCUCAGCAAGACUCCAUUCCCAUGUGUUAUGAUAUUGUUGAGUGGACAUGAUUUUGUUGUGUUACUGUUUACCAUGGAGUACAUAUUUAAUACCUGCCAAUGUAUUAGGUGCAUUUGAUGGAUCUUAGGUAACGAAAAUUGUGUGAAAACAUGGGCUUAGUAAUCAUCGCCCUGUCAUAUUUCCCAAAGGAUCAUAUUGUUGUUGACUA